GAUGAACGCUGGCGGCGUGCCUAAUACAUGCAAGUCGAGCGAACGGACGAGAAGCUUGCUUCUCUGAUGUUAGCGGCGGACGGGUGAGUAACACGUGGAUAACCUACCUAUAAGACUGGGAUAACUUCGGGAAACCGGAGCUAAUACCGGAUAAUAUUUUGAACCGCAUGGUUCAACAGUGAAAGACGGUCUUGCUGUCACUUAUAGAUGGAUCCGCGCUGCAUUAGCUAGUUGGUAAGGUAACGGCUUACCAAGGCAACGAUGCAUAGCCGACCUGAGAGGGUGGUCGGCCACACUGGAACUGAGACACGGUCCAGACUCCUACGGGAGGCAGCAGUAGGGAAUCUUCCGCAAUGGGCGAAAGCCUGACGGAGCAACGCCGCGUGAGUGAUGAAGGUCUUCGGAUCGUAAAACUCUGUUAUUAGGGAAGAACAUAUGUGUAAGUAACUGUGCACAUCUUGACGGUACCUAAUCAGAAAGCCACGGCUAACUACGUG
rnacentral:rRNA from 1 species